UACGGGGGGAGCAAGCGUUGUUCGGAUUUAUUGGGCGUAAAGAGCUUGUAGGCGGUUUGUCGCGUCUGCUGUGAAAAUCCGGGGCUCAACCCCGGACUUGCAGUGGGUACGGGCAGACUAGAGUGUGGUAGGGGUGACUGGAAUUCCUGGUGUAGCGGUGGAAUGCGCAGAUAUCAGGAGGAACACCGAUGGCGAAGGCAGGUCACUGGGCCGCAACUGACGCUGAGGAGCGAAAGCAUGGGGAGCGAACAGG
rnacentral:rRNA from 1 species